UGGCUAAAACUACCCUGAAUAUUCCUGAUUUUGCCUGAUUUUUGAGAUAAGUAGGGUCAGGCAUUGUAAGUAAUUGGAUGUAUGAACACAUGGAAAUACCAGGUGCUAU
rnacentral:rRNA from 1 species